GUGCCUACGGGGCGCAGCAGUGGGGGAUAUUGCACAAUGGGGGAAACCCUGAUGCAGCGACGCCGCGUGGGCGAAGAAGUAUUUCGGUAUGUAAAGCCCUAUCAGCAGGGAAGAAGAAAUGACGGUACCUGAGUAAGAAGCACCGGCUAAAUACGUGCCAGCAGCCGCGGUAAUACGGAGGAUGCGAGCGUUAUCCGGAUUUAUUGGGUUUAAAGGGUGCAUAGGCGGACUGGAAAGUCAGCGGUAAAAUCGAGAGGCUCAACCUCUUUCCGCCGUUGAAACUGUCGGUCUUGAGUGGGCGAGAA
rnacentral:rRNA from 1 species